GAGAUGGCUGUGAUGAUUUAUAAACUACCUAUUUUACGAGGAAUGUUUUUCCUUUGAUUUGUAAUCCAAUGGAUCCUUCUGAGCUCUCU